rnacentral:rRNA from 1 species
AUGAAGUUCAUCGCUGCCUAUCUGCUUGCUUACCUCUCUGGCAACGCCAGCCCCUCUGCAGAGGACCUGACAUCCAUUCUUGAGUCAGUUGGUUGUGAAAUCGACAAUGAGAAGAUGGAACUCAUGCUGUCCCAAGUGAAGGGCAAGGACAUCACUGAGCUCUUGGCUGCUGGUAGGGAGAAGUUUGCUGCGGUUCCAUCUGGUGGUGGUGGUGUGGCUGUUUCAGCCGCUGCUCCUGCUGCUGGUGGUGCUGCUGCCCCUGCAGCUGAGUCGAAGAAAGAAGAGAAGGUCGUGGAGAAGGAAGAGAGUGAUGAUGACAUGGGCUUCAGUCUGUUCGACUAA